GUAUGGGCCCCAUGGUGGAGGUGGGGUUAUGGUAUGGGCCCCAUGGUGGAGGUGGGGUUAUGGUAUGGGCCCCAUGGUGGUGGUGGGGUUAUGGUAUGGGCCCCAUGGGGGAGGUGGGGUUAUGGUAUGGGCCCCAUGGUGGAGGUGGGGUUAUGGUAUGGGCCCCAUGGUGGAGGUGGGGUUAUGGUAUGGGCCCCAUGGUGGCGGUGAGGUUAUGGUAUGGGCCCCAUGGUGGAGGUGGGGUUAUGGUAUGGGCCCCAUGGUGGAGGUGGGGUUAUGGUAUGGGCCCCAUGGUGGCGGUGGGCUUAUGGUAUGGGCCCCAUGGUGGAGGUGGGGUUAUGGUAUGGGCCCCAUGGUGGUGGUGGGGUUAUGGUAUGGGCCCCAUGGUGGAGGUGGGGUUAUAGUAUGGGCCCCAUGGUGGCGGUGGGGUUAUGGUAUGGGCCCCAUGGUGGCGGUGGGGUUAUGGUAUGGGCCCCAUGGUGGAGGUGGGGUUAUGGUAUGGGCCCCAUGGUGGAGGUGGGGUUAUGAUAUGAGCCCCAUGGUGGAGGUGGGGUUAUGGUAUGGGCCCCAUGGUGGAGGUGGGGUUGUGGUAUGGGCC
rnacentral:lncRNA from 1 species